CCCUUAGACGUUCUGGGCCGCACGCGCGCUACACUGACGAAGGCAACGAGCUUUCCUUUACCGAAAGGUACGGGUAAUCUUUUGAAACUUCGUCGUGCUGGGGAUAGAUCCUUGCAAUUUUUGAUCUUAAACGAGGAAUUCCUAGUAAGCGCAAGUCAUCAACUUGCGUUGAUUACGUCCCUGCCCUUUGUACACACCGCCCGUCGCUACUACCGAUUGAAUGGUUUAGUGAGGCCUUCGGAUCCGCGACUCGUUUUGUGGCGAAGUUGGACAAACUCAGUCAUUUAGAGGAAGUAAAAGUCGUAACA
rnacentral:rRNA from 1 species